AGCUGCGUUUGGGUCCCCUUCGAUGGUGUUGGGGUUUUGUUGUUUCGCUCUUUGCAAUAAAUUUUGCUGUUGCUCACCUUUUAGGUCCACACUACCUUUAUGAGCUUUAACACUCACAGUGAAGGUCUGCAGGUUCACUCCUGUAAACCAGCGAGACCAGGAAGCCACCACAAGAAACAACUCUGGAGCCGCCACCUUUAAGAGCCAUAACACUCACUGUGAAGGUCUGUGGCUUCACUCCUGAAGUCAGCGACACCACGAACCCACAGGGAGGAGCAAACAACUCCAGACGCACCACUUUUAAGAGGUGUAACACUCCCUGCGAAGGUCUGUGGCUUCACUCCUGAGGUCGGCGAAACUACGAACCCGCUGGGAGGAAGGAACAACGCGGAUGCGCCACCUUUAAGAGCUGUAACACUCCCUGCGAAGGUCCGCGGCCUCACUCAUCAAGUCGUGCAUAGACCACGAACUCUCUAGAAAGAAAAAACUUCGGACACACCUGAACAUUUGAAGGAACAAACUCCGGACACACCAUGUUUAAGAACUAUAAUGCCGUGAAGGUCCGCGGCAGGACCGGGACCAGGAACUCUUCAGAGGGAACCAAUUCCGGAUACACAGCUUCGUGGAAUGGUUCUGCACUGUGUGUGUGUGUGUUUCCCGUCAACCCUGUGCACACUAUUAGAAGAACACAAGCGUUAAGGCUCCCUCUCAGUCCUGCCGAUGGAAGACAUUGUGAUUUUGACCUUGUUGGAUGCUGCACCUGAAGGUGGAGGAAGAGGAAGAGCCUUGGGGGCUACCAUUCUGGCUGGAGAAGCGGCACGAGGCUCCCUCUUGUGGAUGCAGCAAGGUAAGAAAGUAAAGUGGAUGUUCUCCUCUGGAGCAAGCGGCCUCCGACUCUGCCUGUGGACUGAAACUCGCACUUGCAUGCUGUGGCUUAGCUGAGGGCUUGUAGCUCAGGACAGAGGCAGUGAUGGUGACAAAAGCAGGGGAGUGAUACGGGAGAGGUAUAGCCCCAGCCCCAGGACACAGCAGAUCUCAAUAUUGGGAAGGGAGGAGUUCAGUAUCAGUAAAGUGAGCCAUAAGAGAGACAGGAAAGCAGCCUUUGCAGACAGAGGUGGAACCAAUUGAAAGGAGGAGGGGAGCUCCUUGCAAAGAACGUUGCAGGUAGCAUCUAGAGGCUGUGGGGAUCAUUCUUAGGCCAUCCAAGAACUCUGAGAAGAUUGGGGGGAAGCUGGAAUUUCACUGUGGUUGCUAGGAUGGGCUCAAGCCCGAGGCUAUUUUUAUUUAAAUGCCAUUAUUUUUGUUUUUAUUUUUUGAUAUUAACCCUGUCAGGUUAGUGAGCCUAGAGAAUACCUGUUAUAAAUGAAAUAUAAUUCUGAAAUGUUAAUGUGUGGGAAGGAACAAGUAAGGCUUGAGAAAUAUAACCUGGGCAUGUAAUGAUGCUAGAGAACUUACAGUCUUUGCCUGAAAGUUCUGGAUGCACAAAAGUCCCUUAUUGUCAUUUUAUUUAUUUACUUAGUUCUUACUGAGAUUGAGACAGUCUUACUGUAUAAUGCCUAAAGAUCUCAGGUAAGAGUGAUACUAGCUUUUUUUCCCUAUUAGUUUCUUUUUCUUUUCUUUCUUUUUUUUUUUCUUUUUGUUUUGGAGACGGAGUCUCACUUUUUCGCCCAGGCUGGAGUGCAGUGGCGCUAUCUCGACUCACUGCAAGCUCCGUCUCCUGGGUUCACGCCACUCUCCUGCCUCAGCCUCCUGAGUAGCUGGGAUUACAGGUGCCCGCCACCGCGCCCGGCUAAUUUUUUGUAUUUUUAGUAGAGACGGGGUUUCACCGGUUAGCCAAGAUGGUCUCGAUCUCCUGACCUCGUGAUCCGCCCACCUUGGCCUCCCAAAGUGCUGGGAUUACAGGCAUGAGCCACCGCGCCUGGCCUUUUUUUUUUUUUUUUUUUGACACAGAGUCUCACUCCGUCGGCCAGGCUGGAGUGCAGUGGCACGAUCUUGGCUCAUUGCAACCUCCACCUCCCAGACUCAAGCAAUUCUCCUGCCUCAGCCUCCCGAGUAGCUGGGAUUGCAGGUGUGUGCCACCAUGCCCGGCUAAUUUUUGUAUUUUUCGUAGAGACAGGGUUUCACCAGGUUGGCCAGGCUGGUCUCAAACUCCUGACCUCAGGUAAUCCACCCCCCUCGGCCUCCCAAAGUGCUGGGAUUACAGACGUGAGCCAUCAUGCCCAGCCUAGUUUCUUUUAAAAAAAAAAUUAUUUUAUUUCCAUAGAUUAUUGGGGAGCAGGUGGUGUGUGGUUACAUGAGUAAGAUCUUUUUUUUUUUUUUUUUUUUUGAGACGGAGUCUUGCUCUGUUGCCCAGGCUAGAGUGUAGUGGCGCGAUCUCGGCUCACUGCCAGCUCCACACCUCGGGUUCACGCCAACUCUCCUGCCUCAGCCUCCUGAGUAGCUGGGACUACAGGGGCCCGCCACCACACCCAGCUAAUUUUUUGUAUUUCUUGUAGAGAUGGGGUUUCACCAUGUUAGCCAGGAUGGUCUCGAUCUCCUGACCUCGUGAUCCACCUGCCUCAGCCUCCCAAAGUGUUGGGAUUACAGGCAUGAGCCACUGCACCUGGCCACAUAAGUAAGAUCGUUAGUGGUGAUUUGUGAGAUUUUGGUGGACGCAUCGCCUGAGCAGUAUACACUGCACCCAAAUUGUAGUCUUUUAUUCAUCACUCCCUUCCCACCCUUUUUCCCUGAGUCCCCAAAGUCCACUGUGUCAUUCUUACGUCUCUGUAUCCUCAUAGCUUAGCUCCCACGUAUGAUCGAGAACAUACAAUGUUUGGUUUUCCAUUCCUGAGUUACUUCACUAAGAAUAAUAGUCUCCAAUCUCAUCCAGGUUGCUGUGAAUGCCAUUAAUUCAUUCCUGUUUAUGGCUGAGUAGUAUUCCAUUGUAUAUGUAUACUGCAGUUUCUUUAUCCACUCACUGAUUGAUGGGCAUAUGGGUUGGUUCCACAUUUUUACAACUGAGAAUUGUGCUGCUAUAAACAUAUGUGUGCAAGCAUCCUUUUCGUGUGAUGACUUCUUUUUCUCUGGGUAGAUACCCAGUAGUGGAUACCCUAAUAUGUUUUCCAAACUCUUAGAUUUCUCUUCUUCUUAGGAAUGCCGAUUAUUCUUUGGUUUGCUCAUUUAACAUAAUCCCAGACUUCUUGGAGGCUUUGUUCAUAUUUUCUUAUUCUUUUUUCUUUGUCUUUGUUGGAUUAUUUUGAAAACCUUGUCUUUGAGCUCUGAGGUUCUUUCUCCUGCUUAUUCGCUUCUAUUGCUGAGACUUUCCAGAGCAUUUUGAAUUUCUAUAACUGCAUCCGUUGGUUCCUGAAGUUUUGAUUGCUUUUUAUUAUAUGCUACCUAUUUCAUUGAAAAUUUCUCCCCUUACUUUUUGUAUUUUUUUUUUAUUUCCUUAAAUUGGGCUUUGCCUUUUUCUGGCACCUCUUUGAUUAGCUUAAUAACUGACCUUAUGAAUUCUUUUUCAGGUAAAUCAGGGAUUUUUUUUGGUUGGAUCCAUUGCUGGUGAGCUAGUGUGAUUUUUUUGGAGGGUAUUAAAGAGCCUUGUUUUCUCAUAUUACCAGAGUUGGUUUCCUAGUUCCUUCGCAUUUGGGUAGGCUCUGUCGGAGGGAAGGUCUAGGGCUCGAGGCUGUUGUUCAGAUUCUUUUGUCCCACAGGGUGUUCCCUUGAUGUAGUACCCUCCGCCUUUUCCUAGGGAUGUGGCUUCCUGAGAUCUGAGCUGUCGUGAUUAUUAUCUCUCUUCUGAAUUUAGUCACCCAACAGGUCUACCAGGCUCUGGGCUGGCACUGGGAGUUGUCUGUACAGAGUCUUGUGAUGUGAACCAUCUGUGGGUCUCUCAGCUGUGGAUACCAAUGCCUGCUGUGGUGGAGGUGGUGGGGGGUGAAAUGGACUCUGUGAGGGUCCUUAGUUUUGGUGGUUUAAUGCACUAUUUUUGAGCCGGUUGGCUUCCUGCUGGGAGGUGGCACUUUCCAGAGAGCAUCAGCUGUGGUAGUAUGGGAGGGAUCAGGCGGUGGGUAGGGCCCUAGAACUCCCAAGAGUAUAUGCUGUUUGUCUUCAGCUACCAGGGUGGGUAGGGAAGGCCCAUUAAGUGGGGGCAGUGCUAGGCAUGUCUGAGUUCAGACUCUCCUUGAGUGGGUCUUGCUUGUGGGGGAUGGAGGUGUGGUUCGCAGGUCAAUGGGGUUGUGUUCCUAGGAGGAUUAUGCUGCCUCUGCUGUGUCAUGCAGGUUGUCAGGGAAGUGAGGGAAAGCUGGCAAUCACAGGCCUCACCCAGCUCCCACACAACCCAAAGGGCCAGUCUCACUCUCACCAUUCCCUGCUCAACAGCACUAAGUCUGUGUCCAGGCAGUGGACAAGCAGGGCUGAGAGCUUGCCCCAGGCUACCAGCCUCCCAGCUGUGAAAGCUGUGAACCCUUCGUGCUUCCCCACCUGUGGUCUGCACACAGGAUUCACGCCCUCCCUGUAGUUCUGGCCAGGAGACUUCUUGUUCAGUUGGAAUUGUUACGAAGUUCAGCUGGAGGCUUCCUUCUCCCUGUGGCCUUUUCCCAGUGCCUCUGGUAGCCCUCCCCAAUGACCCCUGGGAGGCAAGGCAGAAAUGGCUUGCUAGGGCACCCAGAGAGCCCACAGGGAUUUUCCCACUGCUUCUUCUACCCCUGCGUUUCACUCGGCUCUCUAAAUUGACUCAGCUCCAGGUAAUGUUAGAAUCUUCUCUGGUGAUCUAGAUCUUGAGGUUCCCCAGUGAGGUUGUGUGUUUGGGACUGAAUGAUGCCCCUUUCCCACUUCCAUAGUUUGGGCACUCACGGUAUUUGGGGUGUCUCCCAGGUCAUGCAGGAGCAAUUCACUUCCUUCAGAGGGUCUGUGGGUUCUCUUGGCUUUCCUGAUUUCUUCCUGCAGUCAUUCUGGAGCAAAAGUUCAUGAUGCAAUACUCCACAUGCUGCUCUGUCCGUCUGAGUGGGAGCUGCAAUCUAGGCCUGCCUCCUGUCUGCCAUGAUCCUCCCAGAGAGAUACUAGCUUUGACACUCGUCUAUGUGGACGAAAAAGCCACAGGACACUUUAAUUUCUAUUUUAGUAUUCCUCAUAUAUUUUCUGCAUUCAUUUACAUGUCUGCCUCCCCAGCAACUUCUUAUGGCACCAUGCUUUGUAAUUACCAUGUGCCGAGUGGCUACUAAGUGACUGAUAUUUAUAUGCUUUAUGUGGCUUAACUUACAUACUCUUCUGAGAAGCUGUUUAAAUUUCAUUCUCUCUUAUUUUCGUUUCCAGGUCUAGGAAAUGGAGGCAUAGUGAGAUAAAAUAAGUUGCUCAAAGCCAUAUGGCGAUUAAGACUUGAACUCUAAAAGUGUUUUAUUUUUAUUUUUAUUUAUUUAAUUAAUUUUUUUGAGACAGGGUCUUGCUCUGUUGCCCAGGCUGCUGUGCAGUGGUGCAAUCACAACUCACUGCAGCCUCAACCUCCUGAGCUCAAGGGAUCCUCCCAUCUCAGCCUCCCAAGUAGCUGGGACCACAGGAAGGUGCCACCAUGCCAGGCUAGUUUUUUAUUUUUUAGUAGAGAUGGGGGUCUCACUAGGUUGCCAAGGCUGGUCUUGAACUCCUGGGCUCAAGUAGUUCUUCUAUCUCAGCCUCCCAAAGUGCUGGGGUUACAGGCUUGAGCCACUGUGCCCAGCCUGUUUUAUUAAUCUCUAAGUGCCCUGCAUCUGCUCUAGGGAGUGUGGCAUAGUCCUUGAUAGUGGAUAACUGAGUGACGCAGGUAGUUUGUAUGAGAAGUGCAGUAACCACAUGGUGAAUGGAAGAUGAUGCUGUACACUUGCCUGGAGUUCAUAGCUGGGACACUGUGGUUACCAGGACACAGCUUCCAGAAUGGCUGACUAAACCUAGAAAAUGCAGACUCCGCUGGGUCUUUGUGUUUCUGUUUUUUAAACGGGAAAAUAAAUUCUGUCAUUUACUUUCAAAGAGUUAGUGGGAGUGACAUAAAAUUGUUGAUAAAAAUCUUUGGAAGUCUCAGUGAGGGGAUCUGCUAUAUUGAAAUAAUGAAAUAAUUGAUGAAAUUAUUUCAUUCGUAAACAGUCUAAGGGCCAAGGGAAGAGAAGAGUGACACAGACUCUCCUUUCCUUGAGAUCUUAGAAUCACGCCUGCCUCCUUACCUCCAUCCAGGACUGUUAAAAAACUCCCAAAGCAGGGACUUUCAGGCCCACAUGCACUUAGCCUCCUCUUCCCACCUCCUGUUCCUCUCCGUGUCUAAUGUUCCACUGCCAUCGCUGCCAGGAAGUUCUGCAGAGAAGAGUGAAGAAGAACCGUGUGAUCCUAAACAUGUUCUCUGAAGAUAUUAUCAACCCACCAUUGGCCUUAUUUACUGGAAUGUUUUUAUAACCUUCAUUUGACACCUCUUCCCAUCAUUUAAAAUAAAUCUGGUGCUUCCCUGAA